AUUAUGGGUCAGGUCAGAUGCUACACUGGAAGGGAACUAUUUUCUGUAGCAUCCAUGGAGCAUUUUCCAAAUUGAAGAAGGCAUGAGCCCUGGCCCCAAAAGUUCACAAUCUAUGGACUGAGAGUUUUACAGUGUGAGAGGAGAUUCAGGCCAAGGAAGUUGAAGGACUUGGUCUAUUUGCAGCACAACCCCCCUGAAAGUGGGCAGAGAAGUCAAUACCUAGCAAAGG